rnacentral:rRNA from 1 species
UACGUAGGGUGCGAGCGUUGUCCGGAAUUAUUGGGCGUAAAGAGCUCGUAGGCGGUCUGUCGCGUCGGCUGUGAAAACUCGGGGCUCAACCCCGAGCCUGCAGUCGAUACGGGCAGACUAGAGUGCUGUAGGGGAGACUGGAAUUCCUGGUGUAGCGGUGAAAUGCGCAGAUAUCAGGAGGAACACCGGUGGCGAAGGCGGGUCUCCGGGCAGUAACUGACGCUGAGGAGCGAAAGCGUGGGGAGCGAACAGG